GUAGAGUUUCUAACUAGAGUUUCCAAACUGGGGUAAGUAAGUUGAUGAAAGGCUAAAAAUUAAAUAAUUCACAAAAAUGUAAAAUUAAAAUAAAUCAAAUAAAAAAAGCUAAAAAUAAAAUAAAACUAACACAAUAAAAUAAAUAAAACAAAAAUCACAUUUUAAAACACAUUUACUUAAAAAAGAUCAUUUGAAUAAUUGAAACAUUACCUUAAAACACCAGGGGGUACUUCAGGUCAAAUGGGUUUGGCAGAGGUUGCUGAAAAUGUCCUGAGAAAAACCCAAAGAGAGUUCGAGUUAGUGGACAGGCCUCAUCAGGGACCUCAUAUCAACAUUUGUGCAUAAUUUACAAUGCAUGGAUGCUGACAGAUGUAUUUUUGGCAGGAGAAACAGCCGUUAAAUUGGAACAAAGUAUGCAUUUUCUUGGCUAGACUUAUAGGAGCUUCGAAUCGGUGAUUAAAAGCAUUUUCCAAGGGUUUUGCACUUCACACUGUGACUCACAUCCCUUCGGUUUCCAAGAACUUGUAACCUCCGUGCUCUAAUUGAAUUUUUCUGCCGGGUCACAUGACUCUCUCUCUCUAUGGCAGUCAUUGGGUGCAUGUCAAAAUGUUCAGGCUAAAGCGUAAUUCGCGGCUCGCCGUGACCUGUGACAUCUCCUCGUGACCUCUUCUGCCAGUCAGGCUGAUCUGAGACAGAGUCGGGAUAAUGAGCUUUGUUCCUCACUCAACCGCAGCUUUAAUAAGCCUAUUGAUUUCAGGAGCCAUCGAUCGGCCCGUCAGGAGAGGAGCUGCAGGGGGUGGACGCGACUGAUAACUGGGAUUUCCUUUGUCUGAAAAUCACUAAGCACUGGAGCAGUAACACAACUACAGCUGAACAGCAGAAGCAUGAGGGGCUUCAUGGCGUCCAGCCUAUCAGACUAAACAGUGACAGCCUUCUGAGAACUCACUUCAGCUCCACCUUCAUCAAUCAAUCGCUGCUUACAGGCCUUCGGAAACCAAAAUAAACAACUUGCCAACGAGAAACUGGACCGUGUCAUGAAUCUAUAUGGAUCCAGGGGCCAUGAGGGGAAUGAAUGAAACGUGGUGAGUCGCACCAAUUUUGUGCAUGUUAUUUUACAGUUCACACUGAGUGUUGCUGACUUUGUGCCAACACAAACAUAUUUGGUUUCAGGCCUUAAAGGAAGAGUUCAGCCAAAAAUGAAAAUGUGCUGAAAAUAUACUCGCUCUCAGACCAUCCAAGAUUAGGAUGAAUUUGUUUUAUUCGUCAGAUUUGGAGAAAUGUAGCUUUGCAUCAC
ensembl:lncRNA